rnacentral:rRNA from 1 species
AAAUGAAUUGACGGGGGUCUACACAAGUGGUGGAGCAUGUGGUUUAAUGCGAUAAUACGCGCGUAACCUUACCAGCUUUUGCAUAUUUUUAAUAUUACGAUUUAUACUCGUAGUGUUUUUUAUAAAUUCUUUGUGUAUUUUAUAAAAAACUAAAAAAUACAGGUGUUGCAUGGCUGUCGUCAGCUCGUGUUGUGAAAUGUUUGGUUAAGUCCUUUAACGAGCGCAACUCCCAUUCUAUAUUAAGCUUUUUAUUUGAAAAUUCAAAUAUAAUAUGCUUAUAGAAAACAGCUAGUUAUAAGCUAGAGGAAGGUGGGAACGACGUCAAGCCCUCAUGGCCCUUAUAAGCUGGGCUACAACACGUGCUACAAUAGAAAAGACAAAAAGAGGCAAAAACGUGAGUUUGAGCAAAACUAAAAACUUUUCUGUGUUCGGAUUGUAGGCUGCAACUCGCCUACAUGAAGUCGGAAUCACAAGUAAUCGUAAAUCAGGAACGUUACGGUGAAUUUGUACCUAGAUCUUGUACACACCGCCCGU